GACGAACGCUGGCGGCGUGCUUAACACAUGCAAGUCGAACGGAAAGGCCCUGCUUUUGUGGGGUGCUCGAGUGGCGAACGGGUGAGUAACACGUGAGUAGCCUGCCCUUGACUUUGGGAUAACUUCAGGAAACUGGGGCUAAUACCGGAUAGGAGCUCCUGCUGCAUGGUGGGGGUUGGAAAGUUUCGGCGGUUGGGGAUGGACUCGCGGCUUAUCAGCUUGUUGGUGGGGUAGUGGCUUACCAAGGCUUUGACGGGUAGCCGGCCUGAGAGGGUGACCGGCCAUUGUGGGAGGGAGGGACGGCGGAGGUGGGAGCGGGAGGAAGUGGGGGGGGUGCAUCAGCAGGGGGGGAAGGCUGGCGGCGCAAGGGCGGGGGGGGGAUGGUGGGCUGCGGGUUGGUAGUGCGCUGGGGCGUGGGGGGGAGGGGGAAGGCGGUUAUGGGGUAAAGAGGCAGGGGCAAACAGCGGGGGAGCAGCGGGGGUAAGAGACGGAGAGCGCGGUUCGAAA
rnacentral:rRNA from 1 species